UGAGGAAUAUUGGUCAAUGGGCGAGAGCCUGAACCAGCCAAGUAGCGUGAAGGAUGAAGGUCCUACGGAUUGUAAACUUCUUUUAUACGGGAAUAAAGUAUCCUACGUGUAGGAUUUUGUAUGUACCGUAUGAAUAAGCAUCGGCUAACUCCGUGCCAGCAGCCGCGGUAAUACGGAGGAUGCGAGCGUUAUCCGGAUUUAUUGGGUUUAAAGGGAGCGCAGACGGGAGAUUAAGUCAGUUGUGAAAGUUUGCGGCUCAACCGUAAAAUUGCAGUUGAUACUGGUUUCCUUGAGUGCAGUUGAGGCAGGCGGAAUUCGUGGUGUAGCGGUGAAAUGCUUAGAUAUCACGAAGAACCCCGAUUGCGAAGGCAGCUUGCUAAACUGUAACUGACGUUCAUGCUCGAAAGUGUGGGUAUCAAACAGGAUUAGAUACCCUGGUAGUCCCACACGGUAAACGAUGGAUACUCGCUGUUGGCGAUAUACUGUCAGCGGCCAAGCGAAAGCAUUAAGUAUCCCACCUGGGGAGUACGCCGGCAACGGUGAAACUCAAAGGAAUUGACGGGGGCCCGCACAAGCGGAGGAACAUGUGGUUUAAUUCGAUGAUACGCGAGGAACCUUACCCGGGCUUAAAUUGCAGACGAAUUACGAGGAAACUUGUAAGCCGCAAGGCGUCUGUGAAGGUGCUGCAUGGUUGUCGUCAGCUCGUGCCGUGAGGUGUCGGCUUAAGUGCCAUAACGAGCGCAACCCUCGUGGUCAGUUACUAACAGGUUAAGCUGAGGACUCUGGCCAGACUGCCAUCGUAAGAUGUGAGGAAGGUGGGGAUGACGUCAAAUCAGCACGGCCCUUACGUCCGGGGCUACACACGUGUUACAAUGGGAGGUACAGAAGGCAGCUACCCGGCGACGGGAUGCCAAUCCCCAAAACCUCUCUCAGUUCGGACUGGAGUCUGCAACCCGACUCCACGAAGCUGGAUUCGCUAGUAAUCGCGCAUCAGCCACGGCGCGGUGAAUACGUUCCC
rnacentral:rRNA from 1 species